UACGUAGGCAGCAAGCGUUGUCCGGAUUUAUUGGGCGUAAAGCGCGCGCAGGCGGUUGUCUAAGUCUGCUGUGAAAAUCUCCCGGCUCAACUGGGAGGGGGCGGCGGGAGACUGGGCGACUGGAGGGACCUAGAGGCCGGUGGAAUUCCCGGUGUAGUGGUGAAAUGCGUAGAGAAUGGGAGGAACACCUGUGGCGAAGG
rnacentral:rRNA from 1 species